AGAACCUGAAACCGUGUACGUACAAGCAGUAGGAGCACCUUCGUGGUGUGACUGCGUACCUUUUGUAUAAUGGGUCAGCGACUUAUAUUCAGUGGCAAGGUUAACCGUAUAGGGGAGCCGUAGCGAAAGCGAGUCUUAACUGGGCGCUCAGUCUCUGGAUAUAGACCCGAAACCGGGUGAUCUAGCCAUGGGCAGGUUGAAGGUUGAGUAACAUCAACUGGAGGACCGAACCGACUAAUGUUGAAAAAUUAGCGGAUGACUUGUGGCUAGGGGUGAAAGGCCAAUCAAACUCGGAGAUAGCUGGUUCUCCCCGAAAGCUAUUUAGGUAGCGCCUCGGACGAAUACUACUGGGGGUAGAGCACUGUUAAGGCUAGGGGGUCAUCCCGACUUACCAACCCUUUGCAAACUCCGAAUACCAGUAAGUACUAUCCGGGAGACACACGGCGGGUGCUAACGUCCGUCGUGGAGAGGGAAACAACCCAGACCGCCAGCUAAGGUCCCAAAGUAUUGCUAAGUGGGAAACGAUGUGGGAAGGCUCAGACAGCUAGGAUGUUGGCUUAGAAGCAGCCAUCAUUUAAAGAAAGCGUAAUAGCUCACUAGUCGAGUCGGCCUGCGCGGAAGAUGUAACGGGGCUAAGCAAUACACCGAAGCUGCGGCAAUGUCUUUUAGACAUUGGGUAGGGGAGCGUUCUGUAAGCCGUUGAAGGUGAAUCGUAAGGUUUGCUGGAGGUAUCAGAAGUGCGAAUGCUGACAUGAGUAACGACAAAGGGGGUGAAAAACCUCCUCGCCGGAAGACCAAGGGUUCCUGUCCAACGUUAAUCGGGGCAGGGUGAGUCGACCCCUAAGGUGAGGCCGAAAGGCGUAAUCGAUGGGAAACGGGUUAAUAUUCCCGUACUUCUGACUAUUGCGAUGGGGGGACGGAGAAGGCUAGGUGGGCCAGGCGACGGUUGUCCUGGUUCAAGUGCGUAGGCUUGAGAGUUAGGUAAAUCCGGCUCUCUCUAAGGCUGAGACACGACGUCGAGCUACUACGGUAGUGAAGUCAUUGAUGCCAUGCUUCCAGGAAAAGCCUCUAAGCUUCAGAUAGUCAGGAAUCGUACCCCAAACCGACACAGGUGGUCGGGUAGAGAAUACCAAGGCGCUUGAGAGAACUCGGGUGAAGGAACUAGGCAAAAUGGUACCGUAACUUCGGGAGAAGGUACGCUCUUGAUGGUGAAGUCCCUCGCGGAUGGAGCUGACGAGAGUCGCAGAUACCAGGUGGCUGCAACUGUUUAUUAAAAACACAGCACUGUGCAAAAUCGCAAGAUGACGUAUACGGUGUGACGCCUGCCCGGUGCCGGAAGGUUAAUUGAUGGGGUUAGCGCAAGCGAAGCUCUUGAUCGAAGCCCCGGUAAACGGCGGCCGUAACUAUAACGGUCCUAAGGUAGCGAAAUUCCUUGUCGGGUAAGUUCCGACCUGCACGAAUGGCGUAAUGAUGGCCACGCUGUCUCCACCCGAGACUCAGUGAAAUUGAAAUCGCUGUGAAGAUGCAGUGUACCCGCGGCUAGACGGAAAGACCCCGUGAACCUUUACUACAGCUUGGCACUGAACAUUGAACCUACAUGUGUAGGAUAGGUGGGAGGCUAUGAAGACGUGACGCCAGUUGCGUUGGAGCCGUCCUUGAAAUACCACCCUUGUAUGUUUGAUGUUCUAACUUAGACCCAUUAUCUGGGUUGAGGACAGUGCCUGGUGGGUAGUUUGACUGGGGCGGUCUCCUCCCAAAGAGUAACGGAGGAGCACGAAGGUGGGCUAAUCACGGUUGGACAUCGUGAGGUUAGUGCAAUGGCAUAAGCCCGCUUAACUGCGAGAAUGACGGUUCGAGCAGGUGCGAAAGCAGGUCAUAGUGAUCCGGUGGUUCUGUAUGGAAGGGCCAUCGCUCAACGGAUAAAAGGUACUCCGGGGAUAACAGGCUGAUACCGCCCAAGAGUUCAUAUCGACGGCGGUGUUUGGCACCUCGAUGUCGGCUCAUCACAUCCUGGGGCUGAAGUCGGUCCCAAGGGUAUGGCUGUUCGCCAUUUAAAGUGGUACGCGAGCUGGGUUUAGAACGUCGUGAGACAGUUCGGUCCCUAUCUGCCGUGGG
rnacentral:rRNA from 1 species